UCUUUUUAAAAUUGAGUUAUUUUGUUUUCAACCCUUGGUUUUACAUCAAAUGGUGGUUGAGCAUGAAUUUCACGAUCAGUGGCUGACCGUGUGAACGAGACUGAUCAAUUGAAUCGCAGUACUCACUCUCAGCAGAUAAUGGGGAAGAAUACCAAAUCCUUAAGCCUUUUAGUGUGAUGUGAUGAAUCUUAGGGAAAAUGCUAGAAGCUCAUUGGCUAUAAAUAGAGCCUCAGGACUUAGAAACUUGCAGUGGAGGGAGUGAGAUCAGUUAUAGUAGUAGUAUAGUACUACUGAGAAAGGUUCCUGCUGGUUUCAUAUCCCUUGUAGUUUUAUAAUACGGAAGAAAGGUCCUACAUGAGGAUACAGAGCUUGUUUUGUAGCCAAGGAUGACUUGCCUGCAGCCUCCCAAGGGGUCUCGACGUAUUUAUAUACGAUACCAACGUAGCAAAAUUGAGAUAAAAAUAGAGAACAAAUUGGUAUCAGAAGCGAUCCUUAUGUGGUAUACAGGCAAGUCUCCUUGGUUAUCAUGACAGGCUCUUCUCUCUCAUGCUGGACCUAUUCUUCCAUGGCUUGAGAGCAACAACCGCCCCCCGUCGAGAUAAGUUUCUAAAUCAACUCGCAGAACAGCAGCCAUGCAGGAAUUUGAACAUGGGAAUUGUCAUCCCCACUCUUCCAGAUGAAUCGCAGAAGCAAUGUGGUAGAUAUAUUUAUAUGGUCUGGUUGCCUCUUAUUAUAAAACAAAGUUAGUAUACGAUCCGACCGGUGAAGUUGGACAGUUUUUGUUCUACUCUAACUAUAAAUUCCAUAGCAGUGCUUGCCCUCUUAUACAACAGAGCAUUACCGAUACUGUGGGAUGAGGCGAGGACCAGAACUCCAGAAGAUGAGGUAUGAGGUAGACGUCUACUCGCGCCUCAACAACAGGUGGUGGCCAUGAAGAGUUGGCUACAGGUUUACUAUAAGCAAGCUUAAACAGCAGGGUUUCGUCAAUUUAAAUGUGAUUAGCAUCUGUGAUUAAGAUGCAGAGAUGUGUUUGAUUCCGUCAUGAUCAGAUCGCACGCUCGUAAGAACGUGACGCAUCAAUCACCAGAAUCAGCAAAAUAUUGCAGUACCACAUUCCCGAAUGCAGUAUUCGGUGUUAUGUGGCUAUGAGGGCUUCGAGUGCAUCUUUUUUAUCAAUGAGCAAAUUAGACGGUUUCAUACCCUCUAGUGUAACAAAUACAGUGGUAUCAGUCAUCACAAUCACGAUCAGGCAGAUCAGCCAACAAACGCUAAAUCCGAACAGUCCCAAAAGCCAUAUCCCUAAUUUUCAAAGGAUAAUGUACAACCUAGACUGGUAGGAGAAUUGCUGUUUUCAAUUAGUCCUGAUCGAUUCAUCCUACUGCACCAUUUGUGAAAUCUAAGCAUUUCAAAGUUUCAAGUACCGCGCAGGGUGAUAGAUUCGUUCGCACAAGCAGAAGAAACGCACAACCGUGGUGCUAUUGGAUAGCAGACCACAAAGGACAGAUUUAAGAUAGAACUGAAGUGCUUACAGGGUAUCCAUGUUUUUCAUUAGUAAUCUGAUGACUAUGCUUUGGAACCAAUCAAAACCCUCAAACAACUAAGGUGCUUACUGACUAUGGUAAAACUGCAUGCGUUUUAAAAGCGAAAGGUUUUUAUUUUUUCUAUGAUACGGUCUAGUCGCCUGUUAGUACAUAAACAAUGUGUCUAACUUGUAAAGUUGGAUAGUUUUUGUUCUACUCUAAAUCCAUAGUAGUGCUUGCCCUGAAACUAACCUCAAAGUCCAAUUGCCGCAGGUAAACGAUCAUGUUACCCAGACACCAGAGCAUUUAUCAAUAGUGUGAUGAGGUGAGGAAGGACAAGAAGAUGGGCUAUGAGGUAAAAGGCAAAGCCUUAACAAGGAUAGUUGUUGCAUGGUCAUGAAGAGUGGACUACAGAAUUAGAAUAAGCAAAGUGAAGGGUUCCAGCCAUUCUAAUGUAACAAAAAAAACAAACUAGCAACUUAUAUUAAUAUGCAGAACUGUGUUUGAUUCCGCUAUGAUCACAAAUCAUACUCAUGUAAGGGAUCAUGACAUUUGAAUCAUCACAAUCAGCAACAUAUCAUUAUUCUACAACAAUCCCAAAUCCAAUGUUAGUUGGUUAUGAGGACUUCGACUACAUAUAUUGAUAUAUACAAAUGAGCUAAGACAGUUUCAUCCCCUCUAAUGUAACACAAGUAGAAGUGGUAUCGGUCAUCAAAUUACAGGUAUGUUCAAUUCUGUUAUGCUCAAUCUUACUCAUGUAAGAGAUUAAGAGAACAUGGCACCAUCACCAUCAACCACAAACUAUUACACUAUCCCCAGCAGUUCAAAUGCAAUUUUGUAAGGAUAGUGUAUAACCUAGACUGGUAUCUACUCUAUCAGUCCUCAUGAAAUUAUUCUACAGAAUUUUAGACCAUUUGUGAAAUCUAAGAGUUUCAAAUUUUUAAAGUACCAAGCAGGGCGAUACAAUCAUCUGUACAAGCAUAAGAACAGAAUGACCACGCUGCUAUUAGAUAGAAGACCUUAAAGCAAUGAUUCUAGGCUAUAAGAGUACUAAAGUGCUAAAAGGCUAUCCGUGUUUUGAUCAGUAGUCAGAUGACCAAACUUUGGAACCUUAAAUGACCAACUAAAAUCCUCCAACAGAUAGGGUGCUCAGUGACAGUGGAACAUUGCAUGCGUUUUAUUCUAAUUGAAAUUAUCAAUCUAUAGGUCUACACAGCAUUAUCCAGUUACCAUUUCAACAUUCAAACUCCAAAUAUGUAUACGUCACAUUAAAAAACAUUUACAAGACA